AUCUGUAUUUGUUGAUUAUCUUUUUCCCCAACCUUCACUCUUCUUCGACAUUGUGAUGAGAUGAGAGUCUUCAAAGUUCGUCACCGAUCUUGAGCCACUGAUCACCGAUUUGGAGCCACCAUUUACAAAUCUGGAGCAACUGUUCAUCGAUUUGGAUUCACCAUUGGUUGAUUCGCUGAUCUCAACAAAGCAACAGUUCAUCGAUUUGGAUCCACCAUUUGUUGAUUCGCUGAUCUCAACAAAUUUCAAUCAACAACAAAUGACAAAAACAAAGUCCAUGUUAUGAAUUGAUUGGUCCCAUGACAUGAUGGAACUAGCAUUAUGCUUGAGCACUUUAAAACAAUGAUGCCAUGUCAUGCCAUCACUUUACCUUGCAUAAACACAGAGUAAAAUUGAUUAUGGUUCACACUUCUUCCUUUUGUGAGUAUGCAUAAUAUGUGGUUUCCAAAUUAUUAUUGUGCAUGUGAUAUGACACCUUGGGCUUGACUAGUAAGAAAAUUAGGAAGCAUGUGGGAAAUGUAUAUGGAUAUUUUUUUGUUUUGUUAAUUUUUUUGGAAUUAUGAAGUUUUCUUGUACUUUAAUAUAUUGAUGUGUAUCACUAUUUGCAUAGAUGGAUUACAAUUUCGAUGGUUUUGGAGAUGAGAGUAAUGAAGAGCUUGAGCUUUAUGUAGUGUUGCAAGUUGUAAUGCAAGAAUUGUAUGCCUUAUGCAUUGUAGCAUAUAUUGCCAUUGAAAUUGUCUUGUAGAGGUACAUUCAUAAGUAUCCUCGUACCGUUAUUCAAGGGCCCAAUCGAUUGCAAGAACAAAUGAACCACAUUAAUCGACUAGUGAGAGAAAGCGACAUUACAUGCAUUAAACAACUUCGUAUGGAUAGGCGUUGUUUUAUGACGUUAUGUCAUAUGGUUCGUACAAUAGGCAGGCUGGGGCAUUCAAAACAUGUUACCUUAGAAGAGAAGAUGGCCUUGUUCCUCUAUGUCUUGGCACAUGACCUGAAAAUACGAAAGCUUAAGUUCAAUUUCUUUAGGUCUGGAGAGACUGUAAGUCGACAUUUCAAUGAUGUCCUAAAAGCUAUGUUGCGCCUUCAAAGCCACUUACUUAGGACACCAAAUCCUAUAACACAAGCAUGCACUGACCCAAGGUGGAAUUGCUUCUAGAAUUGUCUUGGAGCACUUGAUGGAACCUAUAUUAAAGUUCGCGUACCAGUGGUUUACCAAGCACGGUAUAGAACACGGAAGGGGGAGAUUGCUACCAAUGUUCUAGGAGUUUGCUCCCAAGACAUGAACUUCAUUUAUGUGUUGCCGAGGUGGGAAGGGUCAGCUGCAGAUUUUAGGGUUUUGAGAGAUGCGAUUAAUCGACCCAAUGGCUUAAGAAUUCUAACUGGGUACUACUACCUAGUAGAUGCCGGGUAUACAAAUGGACAAGGAUUCCUAGCACCUUAUCGGGGCCAACGAUACCAUUUGUCUGUUUGGAGAGCAGGGGCCACUCCAACUAAUUAUCAAGAAUUUUUUAAUAUGAAACAUGCAUCAGCUCGAAAUGUCAUAGAAAGGUGUUUUGGUUUGUUGAAAAUAAGAUGGGCAAUACUUCGUUGUGCAUCAUACUACCCCAUUAGAACUCAAAACCGUAUCAUCACAGCAUGCUGUUUGUUACACAACCUCAUUCGUCGAGAGAUGCCGAUUGACCCAAUAGAAGAGAGGCUAAAUAAUGACAUAGAAGAUCAACCUCAAUUGGGAGAUGAUUUUGUUGACACCGUUGAGACAUCUAAUGAAUGGACUAGGUGGCAGGAUACACUUGCAAUGCAACUAUAUAACAAUUGGUUGGCUAGUAGGGAGGCAUGACAAUGAUAGUUUCAAUAUUUGUAAAAGUACUUGUUACAAGUAUGAUGUAGUUUCAUUUGAUUUGUACAUGGAACUUGUAUUAGCUUGUAGAUGUUGAACCAUGUUUUGCAAAAAUUGUAUGGCUUUUGUUGGUGAUUGCAUAUUUUUUAAGUGACGA